AAACCAUGGUGCGGGCAUAUGUUCAUCAAGUCCUUGAAUCUCUCCCAACAUGCUUGGAAUGUCUCACCAUCUUUUUGCAUGAAAACUGAAUGAUCUGCUACCUGUAGGU